GGCACUAUGGCCGAGUGGUUAAGGCGACAGAUUUGAAUGGGUUAACACCAGCCAGGUUUGAACCUUCCCUAUCUGUUGGUAUUCUACCGCGCAGGUUCGAACCCUGCUGGUGUCG